GACGAACGCUGGCGGCGUGCUUAACACAUGCAAGUCGAACGGUAAGGCCCUUCGGGGUACACGAGUGGCGAACGGGUGAGUAACCCGUGGGUGAUCUGCCCUGCACUUCGGGAUAAGCCUGGGAAACUGGGUCUAAUACCGGAUAGGACUCCGGACUGCAUGGUCUGGGGUGGGAAGCUUUUGCGGUGUGGGAUGGGCCCGCGGCCUAUCAGCUUGUUGGUGGGGGGAUGGCCUACCAAGGCGACGACGGGUAGCCGGCCUGAGAGGGUGACCGGCCAAACGGGGACUGAGAUACGGCCCAGACGCCUACGGGAGGCAGCAGUGGGGAAUAUUGCACAAUGGGCGCAAGCCUGAUGCAGCGACGCCGCGUGAGGGAUGACGGCCUUCGGGUUGUAAACCUCUUUCAGCAUCGACGAAGCGAAAGUGACGGUAGGUGCAGAAGAAGGACCGGCCAACUACGUGCCAGCAGCCGCCGUAA
rnacentral:rRNA from 1 species